rnacentral:rRNA from 1 species
UACGGAGUGUGCAAGCGUUACUCGGAAUCACUGGGCCUAAAGCGCGCGUAGGCGGGUAUUCAAGUCGGUUGUGAAAUCCCCCAGCUCAACUGGGGAACUGCAUCCGAUACUGUCUGUCUUGAGGACGAGAGGGGAGAGUGGAACUUCUGGUGGAGCGGUGAAAUGCGUAGAUAUCAGAAGGAACGCCGGUGGCGAAAGCGACUCUCUGGCUCGUAUCUGACGCUGAGGUGCGAAAGCUUGGGUAGCAAACGGG